rnacentral:rRNA from 1 species
UACGUAGGGUACAAGCGUUGUCCGGAAUUAUUGGGCGUAAAGAGCUCGUAGGUGGUCUGUCACGUCUGCUGUGGAAACGCAAGGCUCAACCUUGCGCGUGCAGUGGGUACGGGCGGACUAGAGUGCAGUAGGGGAGUCUGGAAUUCCUGGUGUAGCGGUGAAAUGCGCAGAUAUCAGGAGGAACACCGGUGGCGAAGGCGGGACUCUGGGCUGUGAACUGACGCUGAGGAGCGAAAGCAUGGGGAGCAAACAGG